GACGAACGCUGGCGGCGUGCUUAACACAUGCAAGUCGAACGGAAAGGCCCUGCUUUUGUGGGGUGCUCGAGUGGCGAACGGGUGAGUAACACGUGAGUAACCUGCCCUUGACUUUGGGAUAACUUCAGGAAACUGGGGCUAAUACCGGAUAGGAGCUCCUGCUGCAUGGUGGGGGUUGGAAAGUUUCGGCGGUUGGGGAUGGACUCGCGGCUUAUCAGCUUGUUGGUGGGGUAGUGGCUUACCAAGGCUUUGACGGGUAGCCGGCCUGAGAGGGUGACCGGCCACAUUGGGAAUGAGAUACGGCCCAGACUCCUACGGGAGGCAGCAGUGGGGAAUAUUGAACAAUGGGCGGAAGCCUGAUGCAGCAACGCCGCGUGCGGGAUGACGGCCUUCGGGUUGUAAACCGCUUUCGCCUGUGACGAAGCGUGAGUGACGGUAAUGGGUAAAGAAGCACCGGCUAACUACGUG
rnacentral:rRNA from 1 species